UGCAGGUGCACAUACAGACAAACUGCAGAGUUUUGUGUUCUGCACAGAAGUUCCUUGCCCCAGCAAGCAGCCUUUGGGACCUGCCUGAGCCAGAGCUAUAACCUUGCCAGAGAGAAGGACAAGAGAAGACACCAGAGAGUCCAGGAACCAACUCUGCCAGUGCUCAGCUGCUGCCUACAGAUGCACCCAAGUGCUGUCAACUCACCAGCUAAAGGAGGAGGACAUUCACUCAGCUGAGGUUUUACACUGCCCUGAGCUGGAGCUGAUUUUCAGUCUGAACAGGGCAGGACUCGCAGGCACGUUGCCUCAGGUUUGGCAGCAGCACAGUCACACUCCUACAAAAGCCUAUUCCAGUUAAUUAGAGCGUUGCCUUUCAGC
rnacentral:lncRNA from 1 species